UACAGAGGUCCCGAGCGUUGUUCGGAUUCACUGGGCGUAAAGGGUGCGUAGGUGGUGAGGUAAGUCGGAUGUGAAAGCUCGGAGCUCAACUCCGAAAUGGCAUUGGAAACUACCUUGCUAGAGGGUUGGAGGGGGGACUGGAAUGCUUGGUGUAGCAGUGAAAUGCGUAGAUAUCAAGCGGAACACCAGUGGCGAAGGCGAGUCCCUGGACAACUACUGACACUGAGGCACGAAAGCUAGGGGAGCAAACAGG
rnacentral:rRNA from 1 species